rnacentral:rRNA from 1 species
GUAGGGUGCGAGCGUUAAUCGGAAUUACUGGGCGUAAAGCGUGCGCGGCGGUUGUGUAAGACAGGUGUGAAAUCCCCGGGCUUAACCUGGGAACUGCGCUUGUGACUGCACGGCUAGAGUAUGGCAGAGGGGGGUGGAAUUCCACGUGUAGCAGUGAAAUGCGUAGAGAUGUGGAGGAACACCGAUGGCGAAGGCAGCCCCCUGGGCCAAUACUGACGCUCAUGCACGAAAGCGUGGGGGGAGCAAACAGGAUUAGAUACCCUGGUAGUCCACGCCCCUAAACGAUGUCGACUAGGUGUUCGGUGAGGAGACUCAUUGAGUACCGCAGCUAACGCGUGAAGUCGACCGCCUGGGGAGUACGGUCGCAAGAUUA